rnacentral:rRNA from 1 species
AUGGCGGAGCUGGCGUCGGGCGCCGUGGGGACGCUGCUGGGCGUGAUCAGCCACGAGGCGCUGAGGCUUGGGCGCGUCCGGCACGAUGUGCAGUUCAUCCAGGAGGAGAUGGAGAGCAUGGGCAGCUUCCUGGCGAACCUUUCUGGGAACAGCCGCGAGCAUGACGAGCAGGUCCGCACCUGGAUGAACCAGGUCCGGAUCCUCGCCAACGACUGCAACAACUGCAUCGACCUCUACCUCUACCGCGGGGACCCAGCGCUCCACCUGCCCAAGGAAGGCCCUGGCCGCUACCUCCGGUGGGCUCCUUGGCUGGUGCGCAAGCUGCUCGCACAGCAUCGCGCUGCCGGCCAGCUGAGGGAGCUCAAGGACCGGGCACAGGGCAUCGGCAACCGCCGAAUGAGAUAUGGUGUUGAGGUCAAAACGGAGUCAUCAUCUUCCGGGGCUGGGCUCACGGAGCCGUUGUUGUUGCCGGCACCACAAGACCAUGAAGACGAAGCAGAUAUGGACAACGACCAAGAUGGGGUUGAUCCACUCAAGGUGGCCUUGUCCAUGACUAGCAUGAGGAUGGACAAGGAAGACUUCUUUCAAAGGAGGCUAGAUCAAUGGAUCGGAUUGGUGGUGCAAGUGAGGGCGGAGGCGGCGGAGAAACACAUAAAGUCGAAUGUGGCGGGAUCAAGGAAACUGGCAGCCGAAUCAAAACCAUUACUGCCUUCCAUCGCCUUUGUGGUAACGGAUUACGAGGAUGCCAACGCCAACGCUCACGCUCUUGGGAGUAAAGCCCUGGAGGUAGCAAGAGCCUAUUUUGAGAAGGCAGAGGACAUCCAAGAUAAGGUUGUCCCGCCGGAGAUGAAGCAUGCGGGUGCCCUUAGGCGUGAAGAUAAGGCGGUGCCACCCAAGAUUAAGGAUGUCGGCGCCCUUGCACAUGAAGAUAAGGGUGUGCCACCAGAGAUCAAGAAUGUCGGUGGCCUUGCGUGUGAAGAUAAGGCUAUGCCACCGGAGACCAAGGAUGCCGGUGCCCUUGCGUGUGAAGGUAAGGCUAUGCCACCGGAGAUCAAGGAUGCCAGCCCGGUUGUGCCACCGGAGAUCAAGGAUGCCAGCCCCGUUGUGCCACCGGAGACCAAGGACAACGGCGCCCUUGUGCAUGAAGAUAUGGUGGUGCCACCGGAGAUCAAGGAUGCCGACGCCCUUGUGCAUGAAGACAAGGCCGUGCCAUCGGAGACAAGGGAAGACGGUGCCCUUACGCAUAAAGACAAGGCCGUGCCACCAGAGAUCAAGGACGCCGAUGCUCUUGUGGAUGAAGAUAAGGGGGUUGUGCCACCGGAGACCAAGCACAUCGGCGCUAUUCGCACGAAGAUAAGGCGAAAGCCAAUGAGGCUCUUGUGCAUGAAGAUAAGGCGAUUGUGCCACCGGAGGCCAAGGACGCCGGUGGUGCUGCCGGAGACCAAGGAUGCCGGCGCCCUUGUGAAUGAGGAUAAGCCUGUGCCACAAGAGAACAGGGACGCCAGUGGUGCCCUUGUGCACGGAGAUACGGCAGUGCCGCCGGAGACAAAGGGCACUGGCGCUGUUGAACACAAAGAUAUGCCUGCUGUGCCACCGGAGACCAGUGACGCUAACAACGCUCUUAUGCACAAAGAUAAGGUAGCUGUACAGGACACUGGAUAUGUUGUCAUCUUGGUCGACGUCCCCGAGGUGCACUACGAUUUUAUAACACUACGACCCCACAAGAUUCUCUGCUACAUCAUGGCUGAGCUCAAGCGGCAGCAAGGCACAAAACAAGAUCCUCCUAAAACAAGAUGGGGCACUUACAAAUACACAAGGGACACAAUCCGUGAUAUCAAGCAACAGAUAGAUAAAAUGAAGGCCGACAGCAAGAUAAAUGACAUCAAAAUUUGCACUCUCAAGGAUGGUAUGAAGGAGCUGCCGGACCGGCAAAAAUUGCGCAAGGACGGAAUAGAUUUGGAAAAGGAAAUCUUGGGUAAAAACUUGGGCCAACUCCUCUGGUUGCUCAUCUACCAGUCAACUACUACUGCUGCUGCAUCAGAAUCAGAAAAGGAGAAAAAGAACAAAUCCAUGGUAGCAGAAUUGUAUGAUGCCAUCAUCAAGCAAACAGCCAAGAAGCUUAAAUCAAAAAUAGAAGGCGGCUCAAGCUCAGAGCAGCUGGAGGGGCCCGAAUAUGAAGACAUCCUGUCAACGGUGUCCCCAAGGUCGAUCAGUACCACCAUCACCGCUGGCAAUAGUCCUCUUGUUGGCACAUCGGUUGAUGAUGAAAUCAAAGAAAUGGUCAGAGGGGUUAAAGACAUGCUGCACGAGUUAUGGGAAUUAGAAAAAUCUGCCAAGAACCCAGGGGUGAUCCCGGAAGAUGAUUUUGAUGAAACCAGACAGCAGAAGAAGGACGAAAUCAUAACGGAGAUUAGGAACCGUCUCAAGAUCAAAAUGAUGGCGCAAAAGAUUAAAGAAUGUUUGAGAGGUGAUGAUCAAAGGAUCCUGGUCAUCCUAAAAGUUUAUGACAAGUAUAUACCCCAAUGGGAGGAGACCAGAAACACUUUGAGACCCCGAGGAUUGGGGUGGUGCCCUAUCGCUGGUGCUGUGAUCGUGGCGACAAAGACCACUCAACAGGACAUCAAGCAAUAUUGUGGCUGUCAAGAGCUGGAGCCUAUAGAAUAUUCUCUUGUUGGCCUCUACCUUGAUACUGUGCUCCAGAAUACAGGCCAGCAUAUGAAUGAUCAACCCAGCCGCCAGGUUCUACGCGACAUCUUGUGUAAGUGUGAGCCACAUGAAUUCUGCAUGAAGAUCUUUGCUCAUGCAUUGUACACCAAACCCAAGAGGAGCAGUGGAGAGCUGAGCAAGUUGAAUAGCACCUUGCCUGCCGGUGCCACACAAAAAUCAUUGCCCAGUAUGAUGUUCAAGUUCUCUUACAGGGAUCUGCCUAAAGAGUACAGGUCUUGUUUGUUGUACCUAGCUAUCUUCCCUGGAGGAAAAAUCAUCAGACGGUCAACCUUGGUAGGACGAUGGGUUGCAGAAGGGCUGAUAACCACCAAAGAUUGGCGCUGGUCCUCUUCAGUGGAUGAAGCCCAGAAAUGUUUUGAUACGCUCAUCGCCCGGUUCUUUGUUUGUCCUGCUGGCAUUGAUGCUACUGGAAAGGUCAAGAGCUGCACUGUGCAUAAGCUAGUUUAUGGAUUCAUCACCAAGAUCGCCAUGAAGCAGCGCAUUCUGGAGACAAGGCUGUCCCAUCACUUGGCUCGGCACUUCUCCAUUUUCAGUGAUGUCCGUCUCCGCAGCUCUGAAACAAUUGAGAAUUUCUUGAAAAAUUCAUCUCAGUUCUCCAAGCUCAAGGUGCUAGAUCUAGAAGGCUGUGAUUGCUUCCCGCAGAACCAGCACUACCUGAGUCACAUAUGCAGGAAUAUACUAAUGCUCAAGUAUCUCAGCCUAAGAGGAACAGGUGUUACCAGGCUGCCCAGUGCAAUCAACAAUCUACAUGAGCUGGAGGUAUUGGAUAUCCGGGACACCGAGAUUCAUUCGUCUGCAACAAGACAUGUCCUGCUUCAAAAGCUGAAACGUUUCUUGGCUGGUCAAAAGCUGAAGCGUGUCCUGGCUGGGCAUGUCGAUUCAAGUCAGAGCAAUCCUCGUGACUUCCCCAGUGUCCAGAUGCCUGAGAUCAACAAAAUGGAGUGUGUGGAGGUACCGUGCAAUGUCAAGCCGAAGAAUCGUUGGAACCGUCUAUUGGCUGGUCAUGUUGGUUCAAGUCCUGCUGACUUCUCCAGUGUGCAGAUCCCUGAGAAGAUCGAAAAAAUGGUGAGUGUGGAGGUAUUAUCCAACGUCAAGCCGAAGAAUGAACAAGAUUUGAAAGAUAUUGGAGGUCUGAAUGAGCUGAAGAAGCUCGGUGUGGCUAUCAACAAGGAGAGUGACCUCAAGUCAUUGCUUAAUGCAAUCAGUGACCUCCUAAACCAGUCCCUCCGUUAUCUGUCAAUUACUCUUGACAUAAAUAUAUACAAGGACCCUCCAUCAGAGCUGAGUCUGAAACAAAACUGCCCUGAUGUUCUUGAGAGACUAAGUAUAAAUGAAAGCACUAGCACACAAAAGGGGCAGCUUCUUAAGAUAUUGGUUGGAAAUGGGAAUCAACUUGCCAGGGUGACUCUGACUGGUACCUCCUUCAGCCAGGAAGAUCUGAAGAUCCUUGCCAAGCUUGAGAACUUACACUGUGUCAAGCUUCGACACAAUAAGUACGAUGAGAGCAAGCUCACUUUCAACAAGGGUGAAUUCAAAAAUCUCAACAAUUUUCUUGUUGAGGGAAACAACAUGUCUGAAAUCACAUUUGAUGAUGGAGCUGCUAGUAACCUUGAGAAGAUUGUUCUGUCCUCCACCAACAUAGUCUCUAUCAGUGGAGUCGGCUACCUUCAAAAAUUGGAGGAGCUCGAACUGAACAAUAUCAAGAAGAAGGGCAUAUUGCAUUCAUUACUUGUCAAUGCCAAACACAUAACCAGGGUGACUCUUCGUGAUACAUUGCUGGAACAAGGUGAUCUGGAAAUCCUCGCCCGUGAACGAAAGGUGCGCUACCUAGCGCUCUUCGGGAAGUUUUACAAUGGCAGUCAGCUUAUCUUCAACAAAGAUGAAUUCCAAAAGCUCAACCUUCUUAUGGUCAGCUCCUCUUACAUCACCGAGUUAAGCUUCACCGGCGGGUUUCCUAAUCUUGAGAAGAUCGUCUGGUCAUUCGAGAAUAUUGUUUCUCUGUCCGGGAUCGACAAACUUCCUGCACUAAAGGAGCUGGAGUUGAAUGGUGACAGUGUCCCUAAUGAUGUUGAGCAUGUCAUAAAAAAACUAAAGAAUAGGCUUGAGUACAAACACAAGGAUAAGCCAAAAAAACAAGAAGAAAAACAAGGUGGUCCUGCAAGAUGCCCAUCAUUGUGGAAGGCGAAGGAUUGGUGCUGGAGGAACUGA